rnacentral:rRNA from 1 species
AUUGAACGCUGGCGGCAGGCCUAACACAUGCAAGUCGAGCGAGCGGCGGACGGGUGUGUAAUGUGUGGGAAACUGCCUGAUGGAGGGGGAUAACUCCUGGAAACGGUAGCUCAUACCGCAUACCCUCAGAUGUGCCCCGAUGGGAUUUGCUAGUAGGUGGGGUAACGGCUCACCUAGGCGACGAUCCCUAGCUGGUCUGAGAGGAUGACCAGCCAAACUGGAACUGAGACACGGUCCAGAAUCCUACGGGAGGCAGCAGUGGGGAAUAGUGCACAAUGGGCGCAAGCCUGAUGCAGCCAUGCCGCGUGUGUGAAGAAGGCCUUCGGGUUGUAAAGCACUUUCAGCGGGGAGGCGUUACCCGCAGAAGAAGCACCGGCUAACUCCGUGCCAGCAGCCGCGGUAAUAC